CCUACGGGGGGCAGCAGUGAGGAAUAUUGGUCAAUGGACGCAAGUCUGAACCAGUCAUGCCGCGUGCAGGAAGACGGCUCUAUGAGUUGUAAACUGCUUUUGUACGAGGGUAAACUCAGAUACGCGUAUCUGUCUGAAAGUAUCGUACGAAUAAGGAUCGGCUAACUCCGUGCCAGCAGCCGCGGUAAUACGGAGGAUUCAAGCGUUAUCCGGAUUUAUUGGGUUUAAAGGGUGCGUAGGCGGUCGGAUAAGUUAGAGGUGAAAUCCCGAGGCUCAACUUCGGAAUUGCCUCUGAUACUGUUAGGCUAGAGAGUAGUUGCGGUAGGCGGAAUGUAUGGUGUAGCGGUGAAAUGCUUAGAGAUCAUACAGAACACCGAUUGCGAAGGCAGCUUACCAAGCUACGUCUGACGUUGAGGCACGAAAGCGUGGGGAGCAAACAGGAUUAGAUACCCUGGUAGUC
rnacentral:rRNA from 1 species